UGGCAGCCGGCCUCCUGCAUGGCCUUCUCCACCGUCUCCUUCUCCAAGUGGAGCGCAAAGAACUUCUUGGCGCCUACCAUGUAGCUCUGGCAGCGGAGGGCUAUGGCCGUGACCAGGUGCCCGCCCGGCUUCAGCAGGCUGACCAAGCUCCGGAUCGCUGCCCGGUAGGCGUCCGCAUCAGGACAGGCACUCUCCAGGGCCAGCAGGGUCAGCACGCAGUCAGCUGGUGGCACCUGGGCUGGUGCCAGGGGGUGUGGCUGGG